rnacentral:rRNA from 1 species
CAAUAGCGUAUAUUAAAGCUGUUGCGGUUAAAAAGCUCGUAGUUGGAUUUCUGUCAAGUACAACUGGUCCGCCCUCCGGGUGAGCACAUAGUUUGGUCUUGGCAUCUUGCUGGAAAUUGUUGCUGCACUUGGCUGUGUGGCGUAGUGUCCAGCACUUUCACUUUGAGGAAAUUGGAGUGUUUCAAGCAGGCAAUGCCUUUGAACACAGUAGCAUGGAAUAAUUAGAUUGGGCUUUUGCUCCAAUUUGUCGGUUUCUGGAGCUGAGGUGAGAAUUAAUGGGGAUUGUUGGGGGCAUCCGAAUUUAGCCGCCAGAGGUGAAAUUCUUGGAUCGGCUAAAGACGGACAACUGCGAAANCGNNNGCCCAGGAUGUUUUCAUNGA